UAUCGGGCAAGGAAAUAUUUAUAGCUGUAAGAUAGGCAUGCGUCCCAUUAGCUGGUUGGUGAGGUAACGGCUCACCAAGGCAACGAUGGGUAGGGGAACUGAGAGGUUUAUCCCCCACACUGGUACUGAGACACGGACCAGACUCCUACGGGAGGCAGCAGUGAGGAAUAUUGGUCAAUGGGCGAGAGCCUGAACCAGCCAAGUCGCGUGAAGGAAGACUGUCCUAAGGAUUGUAAACUUCUUUUAUACGGGAAUAACGGGCGAUACGUGUAUUGCUGUGAAUGUACCG
rnacentral:rRNA from 1 species